UUUUUUUUUUUUUUUUUAAAGAUGAUUGCUGGUCUUAACUUUAGGUUAACUCUGCUGUGCUGAAGAUCAUCUUUAAGGGUAAAGGAGCUGGAUUGUUGAGUUAUACGAAACAUUUCUUAUUUUUAAAGAAAGUGAUUUAUUCCUGGUUAGUACAUUCUCAGAGGAUUCUGAACCACUAAAGAGUUUCCUUGAUUCAGACUUUGAAUGUACUGUUCUAUAAUUUUCAGGAUCUUAAAACUAACACUUAUAAAACUCUUGAGUCUAAAAAUGACCUCAUAUAGUAGUGAGGAACAUAAUUUAUGCAAUUGUAUUUUGUAUACUAUUACUGUUCUUUCACAUAUUCAGAACAUUACAUGCCUUCAAAAUGGGAUUGUACUAUACCAGUAAGUGCCGCUUCUAUGUCUUUCUAAUGGAAAUGAGUAGAAUUGCUUACAGUCUGUGUGUCUUAAAAGGUGUAGUAUUUUAAUUCAAAAAGUUUAUUUAUCUGGGUAACCCAGACUUUUUCUGUUUUGUUUUUUAGAAGGUUUUUUGUAGUAUGUCAUUUGGUAUUCCAUUUUGAAAAUGCCUUUUUCCUACCAAAAUGUGCUUAAACCACUAAAGAAAUGAAGUGGCAUUAAUUGGUAAAUGUUAUCAUGGUCAUUUUUGAAUAUUCUCACAUCAAGCUUUUGCAUCUAAAUUGUGUUGUCUCAGUAUACCUUAAAAAAUUCAAGUGGCACUGUAGAUGCUUAUAGUACUCUAAUAAUUUAAAACUUGUAGCAUACAGACUUAAUUUUUCUAAAAGGGAAAAUUUGUCUAGCUGCUUGUGAAAAGUUUUGUGGCAUUCUAUAAGCCAUUUUUUUCUUUAUCUGAUCAAAGACAGUGUUAUUUUUUUAAGAAAUGAAUUACAUUUAAAAUUAGGGUAUGGUUAAUGUUAAAUAAUAGGCCUUUUUCUAGAGGUAAAGGUAGUUAAUCAUUUGAAUAGGUAACAGGUGUGCAAGAGAGUCACAUUUGUUAUGUAGGAGUCCGUGUUCAGUGGACUUUCUGUCUUUGUAACUAAGGUUAGAGUUAGCGUGGUUCUGAGGUCUCACUACACUUUGAGGAAGGCAGCUUCUAAUUCAGUCUUUCCUUCUGUGUGCAGAUACUGCCACUGCUUAAUUUACAUGAUUAGGUAAUAAGUUUAGUACACCCUUGAUAUUUGGGAGAAUGGUAGCUAAAGAACAUUCUGAGUAUAGGUUCUCCAUUUACAGAUGUUUUCAGUCAAAUUCAGUGUUUAAAGCAAACUCGUCAUGGUCUUCACACUAAGUUGAAACUAGCUUAUAAUAACUGGUUUUUACUUCCAGUGCUAAAAGUCUUUUAGGGCUUUUACAGUUUUCAGAGCUCUCUUUAUCACUGUGAUCUUAUUCUGAUGGGAGAAAAACUAUCAUAGCAAUGAGGCAAGACAUUGACUUUAUAGUGCUAUCAAUUUCCAAAUGAAAGGGUCAGAAUAACCUUUAUAGUAUUUGGUAAGAGAUAGUGGCCAUUUACUCUGACUGAGCUGCAUUCUGAUUAUGUCUUAUCUGUUAAACAUAGAAUAAAUUUGAAAGACUAUUUGGUCUUAAAGCCAAAGUAAUUUUAGAAUGAAUGAUAUAUGCAUAGGAAUUUAGUGUCAAUUUCAUGUGUUUAAAAACAUCAUGGGGAAAAUGUGCUUAGAGGUUAAUAUUUUGACUCCAAAUUUGAGGGCUUUUUUUUGUAGCUACCAUGAUUUUGUCAAAACAAAUGAAUGAGUUUGAGGGGUUUGUUUUAUAAUUGUGUUAUAUUUCCUGUUUAAUAAUCUCUAGCUCUGUGAUUAGGUAUAUAUAUAUAUUAUAUAUAUAUAUAUAUAUUUUUUUUUUUUUUUGGCCAUUUCUAAGCCUACCAGAUCUGCUUUAUGAAAUCCAGGGGACCAAUGCUAAAACUAUUUUUAUAUAAUUUUAAGAACAUACCAAAAGUUCUUGUCUGAUUUAAAAUUGAGAUACAUGAUUUCUCACUUUCAUGUAAGGUAAUCAACUUUUACUGAAGAUACUCUUUAUUAAAUCAAAGAUUGAGUUGCAAUUAUACUAUUUUUGCCUAAGUGGUUAAAAUGUACUUUUGGUGAGUCAGGGAAUUUUUUUAAAAGCUGGAGUUUAGUUCUAAAUUCGGUUUACGUAUUACUGCAGCAAAUUCCUUUUUUGGCUAAUGACAGUUUGAUAAACCCCAAUUAGUUAAUAUUGAAAAUGAAAGUCACUUAAAAAUGAAAUAGAUCAUUAUUACCAUGGCCAUAACUGCAGAUACGUUUGACUAGAGUAUUAAUUUUGUCAUUUAGAUACACAAGCCUUUGUUUAUACUGCCUAUCUUCAGAUGCUCACCUUCCAAAAUUAAACUUGGUUUAAAAUAUACCUUCAGACCAAUUACCUGUCCACAUCCAUUUUAUCAGUUCUCCGGAGGAAUGGGGAUGAGGGAGGUAUGACCCAGUGGGGCACAGGUAUCCCUGGUCCUUCCUUCCUGACUUCACCUUAAGUUUCUCUCAACCUGCCUUCCUGCUAGUCCCUGCCUCAGAGACUAAUUGCCUUGCUGCCACGCUUCCCCGCCCAUCUCCCCUCAGCAGCCUUUUGACUGAAUAGCUGCUUUUGAAAUCUAUAGUAAAAUGGUUGAUGGAAGUGGGAGACAUGGUUCCAUUUCCUUGAGUCACUGGAUGUUGCUGGGAGGGUUCUCUGAGUUUGGAGGUGGGGUGCAUGAUGGCCCUGCUGGCUGCCUUGUUGUGACUUAGGCUAUGGCCAAGGAGUGGGAAGGCAGCAAGGCAGCAGCUAUGGCAGCAGGAGCUGUGCCAGAAGCAGCGGCACAUCCCACCCUCUAGAGGACAGGGUGCGGUCUGGAGAGCCGAGCCUGUACUUCUGCCGUGGUGACAGUGCUCAAGAAGUGCCUUGAGUCCGUGCACAGUGACAUGGUUAAUAACAUCAGGAAUUCCAGUUUCAGUUCUCGUUACAAAAUUUAAGUGGUCACUUGGCCAUUUUGCAGCCCAUGCAUGAGCUACCUUUAGUUCCGCCUCCGCAUCCGAGAACUGUCUCACAUAGAAUAUUUUAUAAAACAAAAUGGCAUAGUGCUAAUUAAAAUGCAGAACAAAACCCGUAUCCCAUUAGACAUGUCCUAUCGAGUUUAUUUUUAUCCUUGCACUGAAAGAGGUAUUGUAAGUCAACUGUUGAUUUUGUUUCUUGACUGUGGCAGUGUUCUGGCUCCAAAUGAUGGAGAUUCUGUUACAGCUUGGCAGGAAACACCAGUUCAGAUAUUUCUGAGAUCCUAAAGAAUAGGUCUGGACAUGUAAUCUGUAGCUCCUAGUGUCUGUUUUGGAAUGCUGGACUACCCAUGGGCCCUCUCUCUAGAAAGGCUGGAAUUCUAAGACAUUCUGAGGAUUGUCAGUACAUUUAAACUUUUCAACACCAUUAUGCAAUCUUAUUUGUAAUUGUAGACUUUAAAGAAUGUGUUUAAUAACAUUCAACCUGUUUCUUAAAGCUUAAAAAAAGAACUUAAGUGAAUUUGUUUUUAUUUUUUAACAAGAUUUGUGAAUUGAAUAUCAUGAACCGUGUUUUGAUAUCCCUUUUUCACAUUGUGCCAAUGGAAUGGGGUGUUUGAUAUUUCUUUAUAUGUCAAGGAGAUGCUUCAAAAUGUCAAUUGCUUUAAACUUAAAUUACCUCUCAAGAGACCAAGGUACAUUUACCUCAUUGUAUAUAUAAUGUUUAAUAUUUGUCAGAGCAUUCUCCAGGUUUGCAGUUUUAUUUCUAUAAAGUAUGAGUGUUAUGUUGCUAAAUUACUCAAAUGGUACUGUAUUGUUUAUAUUUGUACCCCAAAUAACAUCUUCUAUGGUUUUUGUUUUCUGUAUUUUAUUGUAUUUGUGCAAAAUUCUUUGGCUUUAUCAGUGUGAUCUCUGCCCUUUCAGAUGUGUACAGAAAAUGUCCAUAUAAAUUUUCAUUUAAGUUGAAUGAUUUUGAGAAACCUGUAAAGAGGAAAGAAAAACAAAAACUGCAGUUCCCCAUAAGUUUUUAAAAGUUGCAUAUUGUAUUUGUAGUAAUAUUCUGAAGGAGUUGUAAAUAGGGAGUAGAAGAGCGAUGCUUAUGUGAAGUCCUAACACUACAGUAGAAAAAUGGAAGCAAUGCCAAUAAAUGACUUUUCCCCAAGUGCUGGUGGUGUAAUUUAAAAUAAAGUGUGUAUGUUGGAUCCCGAGCCAUGCUGUUAUGAAAUGUAGUUGCUGUAGAUAGACAUUAGAAUUUUUGAAUUAUUCCCCAGUACAAGUGACAUCGUAACGUGGUUGAGAAGUGCCCGCCUGCCCCAAGAUGUCUCCAUGGGCGUCGUAGCUUCUUCCCAUGUGCGCAGGGGUUGCUCAUCUGUCAGUGGACAGGCUGGGACCUGCCUGCCUGUGAACUACGUUGCCUCUUGCUCAGCAGAUUUGCUAAGGUUGUGUUAAAGUGAUGUUAUUAUUUUGAUUCUCAAAGUUUUGCAGUUAUUUUCAAAAGAAAUUUAGAGUGUUUUCAUCUUUCCUAAUUUAAGGAUUUAUGAGAAUUGGCAUAAUUUGUAGAAAUAGGCUUUGCUUUUUUUUUUUAAGUAGAUUUGAACAGUUAGUAUGCUGGGAGUGGGAACUUGGCUCAUGAGAAAACUGAGCAGAUAGUAGAUAAGGAGAUGUGGCCCCCAAACUCUUGACUAAUGGUUGGGAGUGGUUUUGUGGAUUGGCUUGCUCUUGCAUUACAGACUGUCACUUCAAUUCAAAGACUGGACUUAGGGAUUUUUCCCCCCUUUCUCCAUAAUAAGACACGUAACCAGGACAUAGAGCUUUUGUUGAAAGAUGGAAAAAAAGUGAAAUUAUUUUUAAAACAUAGAUUCAGAGAAACAGCAGAACCAUCUUUAUAUACUGGUCUCUUCGAAUUUAGAAAAAAUGUUUUUACAUAUGUGGUCUUAUGGUCUCUGCACUUUUUGUUUGUUUUACAGUUGAGGAUUUACAAAACAAUGGAGCUAUUCUGAAAGAUGAGUAGAAAAACUUGAUGUUAUAAAAGCUAAGGGUCAGUCGUGCAGGGGUCAGCCGUGCAUAAUUUUUAAGAACGGGGAAAGAAACAACACGAAAUCAUUAUAGAAAUAAAGGAUACUUUAUGAGAGCUAAAGAGAAACGGAAAAGGAAGCUCCAGGGAUUUUUGGCUGGGAGGAUUUGGAUACUACUGGCUUUCAAAAAUGAAGGCAAAAAACUAAAGAGAUAAAAAGACUCCAUUUGUUGCCUGUGGAUCUGCUUUUAAAGAAACCUUUCAGAAUGAAAAUAAAUGACACCAGAUGGUCACUUGAAUCCACAGGAUGGAAGGAAGACUACUGGAAAUGGAAGAAUGUGUCUCUGACAGCUGCUGUUCUGAGGAGAAUAUGGAGUCUUGUGGAGCAAAUGUGAAUUCAGCUCAAACCUGGAGCCAACCCUAGCCGCCCUCCGCCGGAGCAGAGCUGCCCCAGCCCAAGCACAGACGUGUGAGUGAAAAAAAAACAAUGCUUAUCGUUGGAUGCCACCGAGUUCUGUGGAUCGUUGUGCAGCAAGAGUGUGGCAACAGCUGACUAAUACACCAUUCUCAUAUUCCUGCUGUGGGGACUGAAAUAUGCCCAGUACACAGUAAGCACCCACUACAUGGUAAUAUCUAUUAUUAUUAUUACCAUUAUUAUUACUACUACGACGACGACACAAAAGGACCUACAACAAUGUGACAGUCAUCUCAAGCAUUUGCUGGCGUCUCAAGGUCCUGUUUGAAAGGAAGUCACAGGCUCUGCGGGGGUCGCCUUUAUGUGGGAACAAAUACCGUGUUUUGUAAGAAAAGCUGGCCCCUUUGGACUCCCCUUUCCAGCUGCACCAGGAGGAGCUCAGGCUCUCACCCCAGAGCAAAGGCUCAGAGACGUACCUCGCCCAAUGUCACCACCUGGGAAGUGGCAGAGCAGGGACUCUGGAUCCGAGUUGUCUAACUACGUAGCAAGAGCUCUGCCCCCUGCCCUAGCCCCUUCUGCUGUGUGCAGGGACCACUGGAGUGAACAAUGGUGACACCGAGGGAGGCAGGAAGUGGACUCCGCUCAGCGGAGGCGAUGUCUGUACACCGGGGACUCUCCUCACAGCAUUCCGCAGAACCCAUGACGAGAGCUUCCAGAAAACAAGAGCACGGCAGCUCUAGGAACACUCCCCCUGAACACCUGUUGCCUUAGCUCGGGCUGCCCUAACAACCGCAAAGAUGGCGGGCUCAGACAACAGCCAUCUACUCUCUCAAAGUUCCGGGGGCUGGAAGUCCAUGGUCAAGGUGCCAACAGCAUUGGUUCCUGGGCCCCAUCCACGAUACAUUACAUCUAGUCGGCACGGCUUCUUGGGCUCCUCUCGUCUGUGACAGUUCCUCAGACUCGCCCCACGUUCGAGGAUUAGUUUGGAGGAGUGCUCAUCAGAGUGUCGCCUUUGGAAGGAAGUCACCAUGCAUAGCCCCCAAAAUAACAAAGAGGGAGUUAUGAUUCACCUUCUUGACGUGGGGAUAUCUUCUGCCAGAAAAAUUGGUUUCCUGCCUCCAUUUAUUUGUUUGUCAUUUAUUCAGAUCACUAUGGACUCAUGGAUAUUUACUUUAUAUUUUGGAUUAUAAUCUGGUACUAUUUUAUUUAUUUUGUCGCUCCUGUGUCCCAGUGACCUAGCUCCCACUCCGUCAAUGUGGAUUUUAAACUUUUUUUUUUUAAGCACUUUCUUCGUUUUUGGUGCUACUAGUUGCUCUAGGCUCAGCUUGCGUAUUUUCUGUGCGAUCCUGGGAUCAGCCAUUUCUCUAUGGAGCUUUGGUUCCUUCUAUUGGUGGAUGGAAUUAGACAUCAUGGUUCAGGUGCUCUGUGGGCUUGUUGCUGCCAAAGUGUUCUGGCCAUUUUCGAGGCCUCUCCGCUGAGAAGACAAGGAAACGCAGUGUGUACAUCAACCUGUGUGUAUAUGCAUGACUAUAUGUAUGUCUUUAUUUUUAAAACAAUUUUUAAAAAGAUUUUAUUUAUGUAUUUGAGAGAGAGAGAGAGCCAGGGGAGGGACAGAGAGAGAGGGAGAGAAUCUUAAGCAGAC